rnacentral:rRNA from 1 species
CCUACGGGAGGCAGCAGUGGGGAAUAUUGGGCAAUGGGCGCAAGCCUGACCCAGCAACGCCGCGUGAAGGAAGAAGGCUUUCGGGUUGUAAACUUCUUUUGUCAGGGACGAAACAAGUGACGGUACCUGACGAAUAAGCCACGGCUAACUACGUGCCAGCAGCCGCGGUAAUACGUAGGUGGCAAGCGUUAUCCGGAUUUAUUGGGUGUAAAGGGUGUGUAGGCGGGAAUGCAAGUCAGAUGUGAAAACUAUGGGCUCAACCCAUAGCCUGCAUUUGAAACUGUAUUGCUUGAGUGCUGGAGAGGCAAGCGGAAGUCGGGGUGUAGCGGUGAAAUGCGUAGAUAUACGGAGGAACACCAGUGGCGAAGGCGGAUUGCUGGACAGUAACUGACGCUGAGGCGCGAAAGCGUGGGGAGCAAACAGGAUUAGAUACCCUAGUAGUC